GACGAACGCUGGCGGCGUGCCUAAUACAUGCAAGUAGAACGCUGAAGGAGGAGCUUGCUUCUCUGGAUGAGUUGCGAACGGGUGAGUAACGCGUAGGUAACCUGCCUGGUAGCGGGGGAUAACUAUUGGAAACGAUAGCUAAUACCGCAUAAGAGUAGAUGUUGCAUGACAUUUGCUUAAAAGGUGCAAUUGCAUCACUACCAGAUGGACCUGCGUUGUAUUAGCUAGUUGGUGGGGUAACGGCUCACCAAGGCGACGAUACAUAGCCGACCUGAGAGGGUGAUCGGCCCCCCUGGGACUGUGACACGGCCCAGACUCCUACGGGAGGCAGCAGUAGGGAAUCUUCGGCAAUGGACGGAAGUCUGACCGAGCAACGCCGCGUGAGUGAAGAAGGUUUUCGGAUCGUAAAGCUCUGUUGUAAGAGAAGAACGAGUGUGAGAGUGGAAAGUUCACACUGUGACGGUAUCUUACCAGAAAGGGACGGCUAACUACGUG
rnacentral:rRNA from 1 species